rnacentral:rRNA from 1 species
UACAUGGGGGUGCAAACGUUUGCUCGGAAUUAUUGGGCGUAAAAGCGCGCGUAGGCGGUUACUUAAGUCGGAUGUGAAAGCCCUCGGCUUAACUGAGGAAGUGCACCCGAAACUGAGUAGCUAGAGUACGAAAGAGGGUCGCGGAAUUCCCGGUGUAGAGGUGAAAUUCGUAGAUAUCGGGAGGAACACCGGUGGCGAAGGCGGCCAUCUGGGACAACACUGACGCUGAGGCACGAAGCAAGCGGGGGAGCAAACAGGG